rnacentral:rRNA from 1 species
AGAGUUUGAUCCUGGCUCAGAAUCAACGCUGGCGGCGUGCCUAACACAUGCAAGUCGAACGCGAAAGGGGCUUCGGCCCUGAGUAGAGUGGCAGACGGGUGAGUAACGCGUGGGUGACCUACCCUCGAGCGGGGGAUAACGUCCCGAAAGGGACGCUAAUACCGCAUGACAUCCUGCCCUUGGAAGGGCGGUGAUCAAAGCUGGGGAUCGCAAGACCUGGCACUUGAGGAGGGGCCCGCGUCCGAUUAGCUAGUUGGUGGGGUAAUGGCUCACCAAGGCGACGAUCGGUAGCCGGCCUGAGAGGGCGGACGGCCACACUGGGACUGAGACACGGCCCAGACUCCUACGGGAGGCAGCAGUGGGGAAUUGUUCGCAAUGGGCGCAAGCCUGACGACGCAACGCCGCGUGGAGGAUGAAGAUUUUCGGAUCGUAAACUCCUGUCGAAUGGGACGAAUGGCCCGGCCGUGAACAACGGCUGGGAAUGACGGUACCGUGAGAGGAAGCCCCGGCUAACUCCGUGCCAGCAGCCGCGGUAAUACGGGGGGGGCAAGCGUUGUUCGGAAUUACUGGGCGUAAAGGGCUCGUAGGUGGCCACCUAAGUCCGACGUGAAAUCCCUCGGCUCAACCGGGGAACUGCGUCGGAUACUGGGUGGCUUGAAUCCGGGAGAGGGACGUGGAAUUCCAGGUGUAGCGGUGAAAUGCGUAGAUAUCUGGAGGAACACCGGUGGCGAAGGCGGCGUCCUGGACCGGUAUUGACACUGAGGAGCGAAAGCCAGGGGAGCAAACGGGAUUAGAUACCCCGGUAGUCCUGGCCCUAAACGAUGAGUGCUUGGUGUGGCGGGUAUCGAUCCCCGCUGUGCCGGAGCUAACGCGUUAAGCACUCCGCCUGGGGAGUACGGUCGCAAGGCUGAAACUCAAAG